CCUAGAGUCGUAGGCUUUGCCUGCUAUCUCUUACCCAUGUCUUUUGAGUACCUUCGUUUCCUCGGCGGGUCCGCCCGCCGAUUGGACAAUUUAAAACCAUUUGCAGUUGCAAUCAGCGUCUGAAAAAACUUAAUAGUUA
rnacentral:misc_RNA from 1 species